ACUGACAGCCAUGGUUACCGCGGCUGCUGGCACGGAGUUAGCCGGUGCUUCUUCUGUGAGUGAUGUCCUUCCUGCCGGCUAUUAACCCGCAGGCCUUCUUCCUCACUGAAAGUGCUUUACAACCCGAAGGCCUUCUUCACACACGCGGCAUGGCUGGAUCAGGGUUGCCCCCAUUGUCCAAUAUUCCCCACUGCUGCCUCCCGUAGGAGUCUGGGCCGUGUCUCAGUCCCAGUGUGGCUGAUCAUCCUCUCAGACCAGCUACGGAUCGUCGCCUUGGUGAGCCGUUACCUCACCAACCAGCUAAUCCGACAUAGGCUCAUCCGAUAGCGCGAGGCCCGAAGGUCCCCCGNUUUCCCCCGUAGGGCGUAUGCGGUAUUAGCCUGGGUUUCCCCAGGUUAUCCCCCGACUACCGGGCAGAUUCCUAUGCAUUACUCACCCGUCCGCCGCUCGCCACCAGGGAGCAAGCUCCCCGUGCUGCCGCUCGACUUGCAUGUGUUAGGCCUGCCGCCAGCGUUCAAU
rnacentral:rRNA from 1 species